CUGAGUUUUUGCUGCUGUCGCCCAGCUUUUUGAGCCUGUUCAAUCGUUUAUCUGUUUCUCUCAGUCCAUAUUUACUAUUAAUCACAGGAGUAGGGGCUGGCAAUCCCACUCUUGAUUUAAAAGCACCAGUUCCACGUCUUUCACAGGUGUAACAUUCGCAGUAUUCGUUAUUUUCUCCAAAAAAGCCAUCUCCAUAGUAACAAGAGAUUUCUUCUCCAGGUUCAAUAUCUCUCAGAGCUUUCACGCAUGCUGUAUCUCUGCCAGUUGACACAAACUUACAGUUAGGUCUGCAAUCAUGAUUGAUAAACGCAGCAGGACCAAGCCACAGUUGUGCACAGUUUUUCCU
rnacentral:lncRNA from 1 species